UUGGAGGGCAAGUCUGGUGCCAGCAGCCGCGGUAAUUCCAGCUCCAAUAGCGUAUAUUAAAGUUGUUGCAGUUAAAAAGCUCGUAGUUGAAUUUCGGGGUUAGUAGGUUGGUCAUGCCACUGGUAUGUACUGGUCUCACUGAUUCCUCCUUCCUGAUGAGACGUAAUGCCAUUAAUUUGGUGUUGCGAGGAAUCUGGACUGUUACUUUGAAAAAAUUAGAGUGUUUAAAGCAGGCUAACGCUUGAAUACAUUAGCAUGGAAUAAUGAAAUAGGACGUUCGAUCUUAUUUUGUUGGUUUCUAGGAUUGACGUAAUGAUUAAUAGGGAUAGUUGGGGGCAUUAGUAUUCAAUUGUCAGAGGUGAAAUUCUUGGAUUUAUUGAAGACUAACUACUGCGGAAGCAUUUGCCAAGGAUGUUUUCAUUAAUCAAGAACGAAAGUUAGGGGAUCGAAGACGAUCAGAUACCGUCGUAGUCUUAACCAUAAACUAUGCCGACUAGGGAUCGGAUGAUGUUAAUUUUUUAAUGACUCAUUCGGCGCCUUACGGGAAAC
rnacentral:rRNA from 1 species